AUCGCGAACCAGCGGAUCAGCGAAGUUGGCUAGCUGGAACGGAUCGAAAUAGCCGCCCGGAUUUGCCGUCAUCCAGGAAUAGAUCCGGCUUGAACCGAGCCACUGCAAGAGCAGAUAACAGAUCUCCGGGUUCUUGCUUUGUGACGAGAUCGAAGCCGACAGAUUGAGCCAUAGGACGGAACGACGUACCAGGUGGCCAUCGAUUUCGCGACCGGGCGGCAGCAUUGAGCCG
rnacentral:ncRNA from 1 species